rnacentral:lncRNA from 1 species
UUAAAACUGACAACACUAAAACCUGACUAAAAAUUUGCAUUGGCUGAAAAUUUUGUUAAAACUUGUUAAAACCUUUGCUAAAACCUUGCAUUGGCAUUGCCUUUACAGACAAAGGAAAGUGUCAUAGCACAAUGAUAGAAAAUGAUAUAUACACAUAGGUAUAUUUAUAAAGAGAAAUUGAUGAGAAAUUGAUCACUCGCUGAAAUGAUAGGAAUUGAUCUAAGAUAAUAAACAGAGUUACAGACAUGCAUAUAAAUAUCAUGUAAGCAAUCUACCUCUUUCUUUCACCACUUGCUGAAAUGAUAGGAAUUGAUCUUUUAUCAAAUUCUAAAGUCGAACCAUGGACUGCAUUGAUUUACUCAGCUCGAGCCGAAACAACAACUCAACAUCAUCACAAUUCUCAAGAUUUUCUAGAAAAGAUUCAGUAGAUUCAUAGGAAAUGUCAAAUUUCUUCACAUCCUCUGCAGUUUUGGUUUCACGAUAUUCCGGAAUAGUUGCUCCUAAAGAAAUAGGAAGGAUUAAAAAUUCAAAUUUACUACUUAAAAUUGUAAGUAGACAGUAAAAUCAUGUAGCAAAACCAGUCAUCUAAUCUCGAAAAAUAAAUGGUAAACUUAAUAUAACAUCUAAGAGCCUAGCAAACUCAACAGACUAGCAAGUUGAGGGACGACGUCGACCAAAACUUUAUAGGGUGAGACCGGCAUUUACCCUGCAGUUAGAGGGUCAUAGCCAUGCCAGCAAAUCUGUGUUGCAUGGGAACAAAUACGUGUUUCAGUGUUUGAGUCUGACACGGGUACACAGGUAUGUUGUAUUUGACAUGGUGCUUUCUAAGAAUAUAGAACCGUGAAAUAGUGGGGAUCGACUUUAGGUUGUGAAGGAGAAAGAGAUGGGAAAGGAGGAAGAGUAAAGACGGUUGAAGCAGAGAAAAAAAAGAAAAAAAAACUAAAGUGGACGGACGGACACGAAUUUUGGUUCCACCCAAAGUAUAAUGGACCUCCUAAAGUCGAACGAAAAUAAAAUGUGGGGACUUGGCUAGUAUUUUAAGAGCUUUUAACUAUUUAACAAAAAAAAAUAGCUUUUAUCGUUAAUGUUAUAUUUAUUUUUUACUAUUUUACGUAAACUCAUCUUAGAAUUAUCAAUAAAAAUAAUUAGUGAUAUUAUAUGACAAAAAAGGGAAUAAUGUACUAAUAAAGUAAAUCAAAACAAUAAAAUAAUAUAUAAAAUAUUUUAAGAAUGUUUUAUCUUGAAACUACAUUUAGUCGAUCAACUUUUUUAACGUUGAAAGGGAGUGAUAAACAUGUUCGCCCAUUUUGAUUAAAAAACUUUUUCUUCUUCCAUCCACCUCUCACACACACUCGAAGUCGGUCCCCACCACCCGCGAUUGUAGAAUCUUCCUACAAGUAAAUAUGUCUUCCUACAGUUGGAUGUUUGUAGAAUCUUUAUGUAGGAUUGAAUGCUAACAAAUUUCUUGUCCUUUGAUUCUGCAUCCGGGAAUUCCUUAUAAUUGAAAACAUCCGUAUUUACAUAUGACACAACACCAGAAAAGGCAUUUUCUAACAGCAAAAUACUGUUAGUAUAAUUUUUACUAACGGUUUUUCUACGUUAGCAAAUAGGCGUUGGUAUUUAGUAACAGGUACUGUUGUAACAGUAAAAAAGCGUUAGAAUAUAUUUUUUCUAACGUUAAUUAUACGUUAGAAAAGACUAACGGCAAUAUGACGUUAGGAAAUUUUGUUAGUAAUUUGUAACAACAAACUUGUUAUAACGGCAUCUAGGCGUUAGUAAAUUCUAACGGCGGGUAUGUGUUAGUAGUUUUUGUUAGUGUUUUGUAACAACAAAAUGUUUCUAACGGUACUUAUGUGUUAGUGAAUUGUAACAUGUAAACAUUUACUAACGGUAUUUUGCCGUUACAAAUUUUGAAAUUAAUUAAAAAAAAAAAUUUCUGCCCUACUAGCUUGUCGUAAUAAUUUCUACAACCUGUACAGAUACAUAUUCCAAAAUUUCCAUUCAACAAUACCACUGCAGUCCAAUAAUUAACGUUUCCAAAACAUUCACAAUCUUUUUACUAACAAUGCCAACUGCAAUCCAACAAUAAUAAAAAAAAAGACAAUCCAACAAUAUAAUAGCAUAAGCGUUAUUGCAUUAUGCCAUAGCACUUGUUCAUUACCUACAAUAACUAACUAAGCAAAAAUACAAUUAAUUAGUACAUUAAAUUAACAAUUAACAUAUCCAAAGCAUUCACAAUCUCAAACUCAAUGAGCACAUUUUUUUUUAUUGAACACAAACUCUUGUUAAUAGGAACCAAGGAAAAAAAACAUAUAUAUAUAUAUAAAAAAACAUAUCUCAACAUCACAACUUACUAUGUGAAGUCUGUUGUUAAUUGGUUAUAAUCAACUCGAGGAAUAGAAAAAAUUAAACUCCUGACAAGUAUAGCCAGUUCACCUUUGAGAGUACAAAGCAUAGACAGGAAACCAUUGUUUGCAUAACGUAAAGUCUUAAUCCAAUAGCAUCCAUCACAUUCUAGAUGUCAGCCUGUUGAAAGAAAAUGAAAAAUAUCAAACUGCAAUGCCUAAGUAGUACAUAAUUCUGAUUCUGCACCAUAGUGAAAGGUGAUGACAACAUGGAACAACUAGAUGGUCUAUCGUGCACAGUCAUAAGUGAAAAACAUAAAGGUGAUGACAACAUAUAGAGGUGUCAGUUGAAGUGAGAUUGAUACUCGAACCACCUACCCUAGUGUCAAGAAGAAAUAUUCUUAGAUUGUUGUUUACAUCAUUGAACUCAAUGCGUCGGCAAAUGGAGAUAUAUAGACCUACAUUUUUUAGGCUUGUAAAGCUCUUUUUUUUUUCUUCUUCAUCUUUCACUACUAACUUAUUAGCUUGACCAUCACUCGUACGUUUCGCCCAGGACCAAGAAAUCGAAGAAGAGUUAGGUUUUACAGGCAAAUUCAACACUUCAGCUGGUAUCUUGUACCCUGUGCAGUCUCUGUAUUAAACAAAACCUAGUUAAUUAUUGAUACAAUUAAACUACAGUAUUACAAUUCAACUAUAAAAUAAUUUUAUAAUAUUACUCUUUUCCCUCUUCUUUUAUCUGGGGUUGGGACCGGCAAAACAAUGGUUUUCAUAUGUUUGCAUGCUUUAGCGGAGUUAAAAAAGGGAUAGAUUAAAAAAAAAAAAAAAAAACCAUACUAUGUUCUCGUGUCCUUACAUAUAUGUAUCAUACUGUAACUUCUUCCAUAAAUUCUUUGGAAUUAAUAUUCCAAAAAUCUAUGAAAAUAACAAUAUUAUUUAAUUCAGGUCAGAUUAAGUUAUGCUAGAUUUUCAUGUGACCAUAACAAUUAUUACAAAGUAUAAUGAAAUCUCAAACAAAACAAGUUAUUUAAAAAAUAUAAAGACAUACAUAAGAAGAGUGAAUGGAAGCUGCCAGAUUGCACAAAGUAUCCUAAUUGUCUACACACUCCACUUUUAAGUGCUUCCUAAACAUACAGUGUCAUAUGAUGCAUACCACAAGUGAAAAAAUAGUGUGUGAUUACUUGCUGGAAGUAUGACUCACCAGAUAACGGAAUACCCUGAGAUAUGAACUGUCCCUAGGAAAUUCGUUUGAUGCCACAUUGAUCAUAGCUUUCCUGCAACAUUAAAAAAGAAAACAAUCCUAAAAUUAACAACAUGCACGAUCAUUUUUCCAAGAGAAUGAAAGGGAACACCUAAAUUUAUGACAAGUGGAGAAGAUCACAAAGAUGACAUUGAUCCAUUUCCACACAAAUAAGUCAUGCAUAUUAAUGUGACCCAAGUGAAGUAGUGACCCAAGACCUACCAACUUCAUUGAGUCCAACAUAGUACGUUUUACUACUUUUUACCUCUAUACGUUACAACUACAGUAGCCAUUCACGUUCAGUCAUUCUAAUGACUGAUGAAUAAUCCCACUUAUAGAGAAAGAUGCAAAUAAAAAGAAACAGAGUUGAAGUGCAAUGAAUCUAUGUCAUGUGCUACAUUACAUCUACAUGGAUUCAGAUUAUAGAUCUAAAUAUUAAGUUGUUAUAAGGUCCCUAUCCUAUAGAACACCGCAAUUUCCUUGCACAUUCAAAGAGAACUAUAUAUGAGCAUGAAGUAUAAGGACCAAUUACUGUAUUUGUGGCUGACCGUGAUCAUAAGAACUAGCACAGAAAGCUAGCUAACGUGCACAAUGCUCACUUGUUAUGAGUGAAGAAAGAUUUAAGUGUCAAAGAGUCAAUAAAAUUAAGAGUGAGAAUGAGUCUUCAACACCAAAGUAAUCUACCAUUACACUCAAAAAUAUUUUUGUUGAGAUAUGUUUAUUACUUGGCUUGCCGUACGCGAAGCACUUUUGACACAAGAUAAACUACUGAGAUAGAGCAAGCUACUUGAAACUAAUUGUGACCUCUGUAAUUUGGAGUAUGGAGUUCCCCAAAGAGUACAAGGCAGACAAAAACCAGAAAGUACCCAAAGGGUUCCCAGUACGAGUCACUCAACAGAUACCCUCCUAUAUGCAGUCCAAUUCUAAACUGGUGUGAACUCCAAUGAGAAGUCAGAGACGCACAUAUGGAAUGGAAUUGGAUAUGCAGACACUUCAAAGGACAACAACUGCGCACAGAAAUCUGCCAAGCUGUAGUCUGUACCACUACCUACUGGUUAUUGAGAGAAAGAAACAAAAGGAUCUUUGAGAAUGAUUUUUUUUUUGAAGAAACACUAAUAAAGACAAUCACAGAAGGAUUCAUACUCAGAUUCCAUGCUAAGCAUACAACUGUUAUUGAUAGUAACCAUCAGGUAUUCCAAGUGAUGCUCUCCUUCCUUUUUUUUUUUUCCUUUUUUUUUUUUUAAUUUCGAGAGUACUCAUAACUCAAUUAUUUGUUAAGAGUUUGAGAUAUGCUUUAAUAGGGAUGUGAUUCAAACCCAAAUGGACUAUACCUCCCUUGCAGUACAUAACUAAUUACCAUAAGAAUUUGAAAUUAAUAAAUAAAAUUUGAAAUCAUACAUGGAAAAUAUUAGAAAAAUAAGAAAACGGAUCAUUUGAUCUUCUUGAAUUCAUCGUCGUACAAAAUAACAAUAAAAGCAACAAAGUAAAAUCAUAAUUUAUUUGAACACCCAAUCCUUGAAUUUUAACAAGUAAUAAGACUGAUAGAGAGAGAGGGAGAGAGAGUAACACCUGUUGCAAUUGUGGAGCAAUGGAAGAAAAUAUUCCUAAGAAGCAAAAAGGCAUAAGAAACGAGAGGAUUUUGCGAGAAAAUAAAGGCAUAAUAAAUAAAGGCAUAAGAACUAAAAUUACACAGAUAUGGUUUAUUAGAAAGCAAUAAAUUAUGGUUUCAUAAAGAUGAUCAGAAUAUAAACUAAAAUUACAAAAAAAAAAAAAAAAAUUCUUGCACCAUCAGAAUUUAACUAACAAAGUAAUAAUGAUAUAGAUUACAUUUUUCUUUAAGAUUCGAAAGAAAUUACCUCAAAAUUGACGAUAGAAGCAAGAAGUUGUUCUAAAUCAAAACCAACAACCAAAGCCAAGUCUCCCAAAUCUAAUGGGAAGAACAAAUAGAAGGGAAAAAAACGAAGAAGGAAGAGAAGAAAUAGAAAUUGAUAGAGAUUAGAAGUGGUGAGAGAUGGUGAGAGAGACGGUGGGAGAGUUCUAAGCAUAAUAGAGUUCUUAUGCUAGAUUGGGAAAGAAGAAUUUAGUUUUUGCUACUAACGCCCAAAAUAAUCGCGUGCUAAUCACAUGGGUCAAAUUUGUGUUAUUGGAAUGUAACUACUAACACAAAGAAACUGUUA